CGCAGGGGCUCGAGAGGCCUGGACCUGUGGCGCAUCCUCAGUGAGGAGGGCCGACCUGCACCCGUCGCCGGCCCCGGUCUCCAGGGGCUUCACCCGAGUCAUGCCCCGCUAUUGCGCAGCGAUUUGUUGUAAGAACCGCCGGGGACGAAACAAUAAAGACCGGAAGCUGAGUUUUUAUCCACCUGAAGGACUUAUUCAUUAAUGAUUCGGCUGCUUUCCAGUAUUUUAAUUAAUGGAAAAAAAAAUUGAUAACCCCACCAGGCGCGGUGGCUCACGCCUGUAAUCCCAGCACUUUGGGAGGCUGAGGCGGGCAGAUCACCUGAGGUCGGCAGUUUGAGACCAGCCUGACCAACAUGGAGAAACCCCGUCUCUACUAAAAAUACAAAAUUAGCCGCGCGUGGUGGCGCAUGCCUGUGAUCUCAGCUGCUCGGGAGGCUGAGGCAGGUGAAUCGCUUGAACCCGGGAGGUGGAGGUUGAGAUUUCCUCUACAUGACAAAGAAAGACUGGAAAAGUGGUUAAAGAAUAUGAAGCGAGAUUCAUGGGUUCCCAGUAAAUACCAGUUUCUAUGUAGUGACCAUUUUACUCCUGACUCUCUUGACAUCAGAUGGGGUAUUCGAUAUUUAAAACAAACUGCAGUUCCAACAAUAUUUUCUUUGCCUGAAGACAAUCAGGGAAAAGACCCUUCUAAAAAAAAAUCCCAGAAGAAAAACUUGGAAGAUGAGAAAGAAGUAUGCCCAAAAGCCAAGUCAGAAGAAUCAUUUGUAUUAAAUGAGACAAAGAAAAA
rnacentral:sRNA from 1 species